rnacentral:rRNA from 1 species
CCAGCCAUGCCGCGUGCAGGAUGACGGUCCUAUGGAUUGUAAACUGCUGUUUGUACGAGAAGAAACAACAUUACGUGUAAUGUCUUGACGGUAUCGUAAGAAUAAGGAUCGGCUAACUCCGUGCCAGCAGCCGCGGUAAUACGGAGGAUCCAAGCGUUAUCCGGAAUCAUUGGGUUUAAAGGGUCCGUAGGCGGUUUAGUAAGUCAGUGGUGAAAGCCCAUCGCUCAACGGUGGAACGGCCAUUGAUACUGCUAGACUUGAAUUAUUAGGAAGUAACUAGAAUAUGUAGUGUAGCGGUGAAAUGCUUAGAGAUUACAUGGAAUACCAAUUGCGAAGGCAGGUUACUACUAAUUUAUUGACGCUGAUGGACGAAAGCGUGGGUAGCGAACAGGAUUAGAUACCCUGGUAGUCCACGCCGUAAACGAUGGAUACUAGCUGUUGGGGGCAACUUCAGUGGCUAAGCGAAAGUGAUAAGUAU